UAAAGUGUAUGGAUGCAUUGCGAAUUAGCUACAGGGCAGCCGAAGCAAUGUGAACAAAGUUCGAUAUCAAGUCCGCCGUUGCUUGUUAAUGACGCCAUAAAGCGAGGAUGUAAACUAAAUUGCUUUGAAAGCCUAUGUAAGUGCUUCGUAAUCAGGGUGCUUACUAGCAUGACGACUCGUAAGGGCGUGCGGGAUAGCUUGUGCCAGCACUCCAGGAGGAGGUCCGUAUCGCCCUACUAAACAUCUUGUGCCAAAAAGAAAACUGUUACAGAAUUAAUUAACAGCACUCCAAUCCAAAACUGCGCUUGUUAAAGCUUUCAGCUGGGGUGCAGUGGGCCAAGCUCCGGGGUUCAGGAUCCAUAUCCUUGACCCGUCAACAAGGUACGUGCGUCAAGCGCGUUGCAGUUAGACCCACAUAGACAGCUUUUAGCAGGCUAGUUGCGAGCUCUUUCCAAACAAGUUGUCUUUGCUUUAACUAGCCGGAAAUAACCCCUUAACCCGUUCGCGUCCACUUCCCCGGUAACGGGGCCCCUUUAUCCUGAAAGUCAGCUCCUCCCAAACUCAGCGCCUCCUUUCCCCUUGAGGGUUACAACUGCACAGCCGUGAUACUUGUCACAACGAGCAUUCUAACACACCAAUCACCGACCGCCCAUAAAUGCCACGGACCACUGUAACCGCUCCAUCUCCACACCAUGCUAUAAGCCAAGGCGCGCACACCAUCCUCACCACUAGACCCGACCGAUUGGCGAAGACCCUCCACUCCGUGACGGCGAGGCUUUUCCUUGCCUAACCCCCUCACAAGCCAAUGCAACAAUUCGGAAUCUCCCAAAGCAACCCAGUUCACUCAAUCCGGCCACUAGCAUCGGCCAUUAGCAUCGCCACCCAGCUCAGCAAAUCAUUUCUGUACAUUUGUACACGCACGUCUGAGUUAUGUGUGUGUGUAUGUUACACCUCGGUUGCGUUACCCAGAGAGGUGUAACGAGUGCCCAUACGAGCCAUAAGAGUUGUAAUACCCAAUUCAUCACGUGGAAGGCAAACACAUUGACGAACGCCCCUGGACUGUCGCGGCAUGUAACACCGCCGCCGUCACCCUCUCCUCCAACAACAGUUCCCCGCCGUCCUCCAGCGCCGCCAGCGCCGCAGCCGCGGCUGCCGCCAUGUACGACACCGUUCUGUACGAGCAGUGCCCAUUGCGUCCGUGCCGUGGCGCUGACGCUGCCGCAGCUGCUCCAACCGACAAUCGCGCCACCUUGACUGCGUCCCGCUGCUGACCACCGCCACCCCCACCACCGCCACCACCACAGAUGCGAUCACAUCUGUCGCCGCCAGACAUGCCUCCGCGUAGAGGACUUGAGGGCGCAACACUGCUACCGCCGCCGCAGUCGUAGCCAGUGCGCGUCUG
rnacentral:lncRNA from 1 species